UACGUAGGGUGCAAGCGUUGUCCGGAAUUAUUGGGCGUAAAGGGCUCGUAGGCGGUCUGUCACGUCGGGAGUGAAAACUCAGGGCUUAACCCUGAGCCUGCUUCCGAUACGGGCAGACUAGAGGUAUGCAGGGGAGAACGGAAUUCCUGGUGUAGCGGUGAAAUGCGCAGAUAUCAGGAGGAACCCCGGUGGCGAAGGCGGUUCUCUGGGCAUUACCUGACGCUGAGGAGCGAAAGUGUGGGGAGCGAACAGG
rnacentral:rRNA from 1 species